UACGGAGGGUGCGAGCGUUGUCCGGAAUCAUUGGGCGUAAAGGGCGCGUAGGUGGCCCGGUCAGUUCGUGGUGAAAGCGCGGGGCUCAACCCUGCGUCGGCCAUGAAUACUGCCGCGGCUGGAGCACUGUAGAGGCAGGCGGAAUUCCGGGUGUAGCGGUGGAAUGCGUAGAGAUCCGGAAGAACACCGGUGGCGAAGGCGGCCUGCUGGGGCAGUUGCUGACACUGAGGCGCGACAGCGUGGGGAGCAAACAGG
rnacentral:rRNA from 1 species